UGGUACGGUCCUCACAACAAUCAGCAGGGUGUGAAGUGAGAGGUGGGGUGUGGUACGGUCCCAACAACAAACAGCGGGGUGUGAAGUGAGAGGUGGGGUGUGGUACAGUCCCAACAACAAACAGCGGGGUGUGAAGUGAGAGGUGGGAUGUGGUACAGUCCCAACAACAAACAGCGGGGUGUGAAGUGAGAGGUGG